rnacentral:lncRNA from 1 species
GAGUGGGGAGAGGGAUUCCUAAGAACAUCUUGCUUCCAGGUGCCCCUGUGAGUAACCUGUCCUGUCCAUUGCCCCUCCGCCUGUACCCAGAUAAAUCUGGUCCUAUCAGAUGGCUACAGAUAUCCUGCUUUUACAAAUGAGAAAACUGAAGCUCAGGAAAGGGAAAUGACUUGCCUCCGUGUGUGUAACUGGUCGGACCUGGACUGUCUGGUUUCCAGACCCAAUUCAGAAAACACCACGCUUCAACAAAGUCUAAAGCUCGUAAUGAAGAAGCCAUAGAUCUGGGAUCUGAGAAGGAUGAACCCACGACCUUCAGGGAAGUGGCCAGGAAGCCGCGAGUUUAAGGGAACCAAACAGAUCCUGUGGUCUGAGCCACUUGCCUGUACUUAUCUCAAUCGGAAGGAACAGUGUGAAGGUAAGAACAUGAAACAAGGGAGACACUUAUAUGGAGAUAUCAAAAAAUGAUCAGGUGAAGGACAAACAGAUGGUGUUAUUCAUACAAAGAAGGAUGUUGAAGUUUGGAGCAGGUGUGGGCCAGUGAAGAAGGAAACUGAGUUCUUUUUUUUUUGGUCAGGGACAGACUAUUGCAUCAUGUCCCCAGGCCGGGAUGAACUUGGUCGUUUCUUCUGAUUGCUGCCUCCCAUCCAGACUCAGCCACUCCUUGAAUGACACGCAGCUGCACUCCCUCCCCUGUGUUUCAGGAAAGCAUCUGGAAAUAAACAGCACUUAGCCCUGCGGCAGAGACAAAGGCAUUGUUUCUUUAAUAACACAUCUCUUUGAAAACCGUCCCCAGACCUACUUCAGAAGCCAGGCUGUACUGACCCUGACCUGAUGUAGUUUGUUCAGUUCUGCUGGGCAGAGGACUAUGAAGGAGCUAUGACGGGCAUGUAUAGAGAAUGGAAAAUGUGAUUUAGUCAUGACUUUGGUGAGAGAAAGGCACUCAUUUAAGAAUGCAGAUGGUAGGACCCUCCAUUUAAAUUGUGUGUGUGUGUGUGUGUGUGCAUGCACACAGGUCAUGGGACUGUAGCAGAAUUGACUGCUAUCAACUGUGUAUGUGUGUCUACAAGCAUGCUGUCUGGAAACCCAGCAGAGGUGAAGCUCCACCCCAACCAGUGUAAUGAUGAAAGCAUAUUCUGGGUUGCCACCUGCUGGUAUUUAUAUCACACAGGUGGCAGUGGUGAGAGGAGGGGCUUCUGUUUAUUUAACACAGAAUAUAUGCUUGACACACCGUUAUCUCUCACUUCCUGUAUAUGCAUCAGUUAGUUGCUGUAUAAGCAAAAGUUACAAAAACUGUUGUGAAACAGUCAACCACAAAGCCUUAGAGAUAUACAGAAUAAACACUAGUUUUUAUUCAUGAGUCUAGAGUCAGUAGGUCGGUUCUCCUGUUCUGAACUAGACUUGAUGAGCUCACAUGGUGUAUGGUCAGCAUUGUAUUGGCUAAGUAACUCUCCGUAUCUUAAGAGGACUUCCUCACAUGCCUGAAGCCUUGGCUUGGACUACUGGGCUGACUCAAAUUUCUUCCCUGCCUCCUUCUCCAGGAGACCAUCCCAGGCACGUUCUUCUGAGAAAGGCCAAGAAGUAUGAGAGGAAGCUUAAACACAUUUUGAUGUCUCUGCAUAUGUUACAUUUGUUACCACUUUAUUGACCAAAGAAAAUCACAAAGUCAAGUCACAAGUCAAGACUUGGAAAAAAAAAAAGUCACAGGGUGAGAAGGGACAGCAAAGACUGAGAUACAAGGACAGCGCUAAUUUGGUCCAUUGAUGCAGAUGAUGUACCACAGCAUACUUUUCCACUGAAUCUUCAUGAGAAUUCUAUGACCAUUUUACAAAUGAAGGUUCCUAGGAGUCAUUUAAUGUCACAUCUUAUUUAAUACCACAUAGCUAUGAAGUUAGGAAGCCAGGACUUGAAGUCAAGAUAACUCUUGUCAGUCUGUUUGUUUGUGUAAGUUUGUCUGUUUCCAUUACAUGAUGAGAACCGGAUGCCAACAGAACAAGGGCAGAGAUUCAUGAAAGUGAGGGAUGCCAUGGCAGUCCAAUGACCUAUAAACCAAGCAAUGGCCAGAUCAGCGCCCAUAUCAGGAAGUUGAGUCAGCUGUGGGUAUAAGAAGGAUGUGAGUUUAAAUCAGACAGUCAGCAAGGAGCUAUGUAGAGUAUUGGUGUCAAGCAAGGAACAUCAAGGUUUCUGGAAGAAGAGUUUGUAGUCUAGGCAGAUACAGGAAAUGCAGCCAAGCAGUUGGAGAUCGAGAAUGGGUUUCAAGUCAUGGAGAUAAUUAAGCUCUGAGCAGGGAAACCCAGUUUACAGCUAGUCAUUGAUCUCCUCUUGCCUUUUGUAGGGAGUCCAACAUCCUUUACAUGGCCUCUCAUAGGUUCCGUGGGUUGAUAUCAUUUUGGACCAUUCUUCCUCUCCCAGCUUAAUGUCAAAGGUACAAUGUACUUUCUUGGAGUUCCUUGGUGGCUCAGUGGGUUAAGGAUCUAACCUUAUCACUACUGUGGCUCAGGUGGCUGCUGUGGCAUGGGUUCAAUCCCUGGCCCAGGAAAUUCUGCAUGCUGUGGGCGUGGCCAAAACAAAUCAAAUUUACAAUGUACUUUCUCAUUUUUUGGCAUUUACACAUAUCUUUUACUUAGGACACUUUUUCUUAACUUCUCAUACUUUCUCUCUUUGGCUAAUUCUUAUGCAUCCUUUAGUUUUUGGUUAUUUCCGGUUAGUUACAUGUUGUACCUUCACUCUAAGACACUUCCAGAGCACCCUGUACUUCUUCUUCAUAUUUGUACGUAUGUUUCAUUCCCUGUCUUUCCUCUAGAGCAAAGGGUGGCACACCUGUUUGGUAAAGAGCCAGGUAAUGUGUAUUUUAUAGUCUCUGAUGUCACUAUUCCACCAUCCUGUUAUAGUGUGAAAGUAGCCUUAACAAUAUGCAAAUGAAUAGGCAUGUCUGAGUUCCUAUAAAACUCUAUUAAAACACCUAGUGAACUGGAUUUGAUCCAUGGGCCAUAGUUUGUUGACUCUUUCUCUGGAGUAUAAAUUCCAUGAACAUUGGAAGUUUGUCCAUGUUGUUUACCACCAAGUCCUGGUAACCAGUUCUGAAAUGGUACACAGUAGAUGUAAAAAAAAAAAAAA